UCACAUUAUUUGAAAGCAGCCUCUAUUAAGUAGACUCUUUCAAGUAGGAGUUAGAAAACCAGUAGUUGAAACAAACAAGGGGUUUAAACUAUCAAGGUAACUGUUUUUAUUUUACUGUUUAAAGGGGAAAUGAGUGUUAGCAAGAUUGCUGGUUUAACUCAAUGCACAUCUUGUUGCAUGUAUGGAUGCCUGGAUGUACCCAUCCAGGGUCCAUACCUCUGUGAUGGUUGUGUGCGAGUGGCUUCUCUGGAAGCUCAGAUUGGAGAUCUUGAGAAGCAAAUCGCAACAUUGAGGGAGAUUGAUAAUCUUGAG